CCUACGGGCGGCAGCAGUGAGGAAUAUUGGUCAAUGGACGAGAGUCUGAACCAGCCAAGUAGCGUGAAGGAUGACUGCCCUAUGGGUUGUAAACUUCUUUUAUAUGGGAAUAAAAUGUUCCACGUGUGGGAUUUUGUAUGUACCAUAUGAAUAAGGAUCGGCUAACUCCGUGCCAGCAGCCGCGGUAAUCCGGAGGAUCCGAGCGUUAUCCGGAUUUAUUGGGUUUAAAGGGAGCGUAGGUGGAUUGUUAAGUCAGUUGUGAAAGUUUGCGGCUCAACCGUAAAAUUGCAGUUGAAACUGGCAGUCUUGAGUACAGUAGAGGUGGGCGGAAUUCGUGGUGUAGCGGUGAAAUGCUUAGAUAUCACGAAGAACUCCGAUUGCGAAGGCAGUUCACUGGACUGCAACUGACACUGAGGCUCGAAAGUGUGGGUAUCAAACAGGAUUAGAUACCCUUGUAGUC
rnacentral:rRNA from 1 species